rnacentral:rRNA from 1 species
GGUUCAGGAUGAACGCUGGCGGCGUGCUUAAUACAUGCAAGUCGAACGAAGCGCUUACAGUCGAUCCCUCGGGGUGAAGCAGUUUGUGACUUAGUGGCGGACGGGUGAGUAACGCGUGGGUAACCUGCCUUAUGCAGGGGGAUAACAGUUAGAAAUGACUGCUAAUACCGCAUAAGCGCACGGCACCGCAUGGUGGAGUGUGAAAAGAUUUUAUCGGCAUAAGAUGGACCCGCGUCUGAUUAGGUAGUUGGUGAGGUAACGGCCCACCAAGCCUGCGAUCAGUAGCCGACUUGAGAGAGUGAUCGGCCACAUUGGGACUGAGACACGGCCCAGACUCCUACGGGAGGCAGCAGUAGGGAAUAUUGCACAAUGGGGGAAACCCUGAUGCAGCGAACCGCCGCGUGAGUGAUUGAAGCAUUUCGGUGCGUAAAGCUCUAUCAGCAGGGAAGAUAAUGACGGUACCUGACUAAGAAGCCCCGGCUAACUACGUGCCAGCCGCCGC